rnacentral:misc_RNA from 1 species
GAUGAAGAACGCAGCGAAAUGCGAUAAGUAAUGUGAAUUGCAGAAUUCAGUGAAUCAUCGAAUCUUUGAACGCAUAUUGCGCUCUUUGGUAUUCCGAAGAGCAUGCUUGUUUGAGUAUCAGUAAACACCUCAACCUCUUCUUGAUUUUUCAAAAGGAGGGUGGACUUGAGCUAUCCCAACAACCUUUACCGGUCGGCGGGCGGCUUGAAAUGCAGGUGCAGCUGGACUUUUAUCUGAGCUAAAAGCAUAUCUAUUUAGUCCUCGUCAAACAGGAUUAUUACUUUUGCUGCAGCUAACAUAAAGGAUAAUUGUCCUCUUUGCUGACUGAUGCAGGAUUUUACGACACUUUAUGUGUUGUUCAACUCGAUCUCAAAUCAAGUAAGACUACCCGCUGAACUUAAGCAUAUCAAUAAGCGGAGGA